rnacentral:sRNA from 1 species
UCGUCCUUGUUGGCGGCAUAUGUGCAUC